AUUGAACGCUGGCGGCAGGCCUAACACAUGCAAGUCGAGCUGAGCGUCGGACGGGUGAGUAAUGCCUAGGAAUCUGCCUGGUAGUGGGGGAUAACGUCCGGAAACGGGCGCUAAUACCGCAUACUAUCAGAUUCGCCUAGGUCGGAUUAGCUAGUUGGUGGGGUAAAGGCCUACCAGGGCGACGAUACGUAACUGGUCUGAGAGGAUGAUCAGUCCCACUGGAACUGAGACAGGGUCCAGACGCCUACGGGAGGCAGCAGUGGGUAAUAUUGGGAAAGGGGCGAAAGCUUGAUGCAGCCAUGCCGCGAGUGUGAAGAAGGUCUUCGGAGUGUAAAGCACUUUAAGUUGGGAGGCGUUACCAACAGAAUAAGCACCGGCUAACUUCGUGCCAGCAGCCGCGGUAAUAC
rnacentral:rRNA from 1 species